rnacentral:tRNA from 1 species
AGCGGGUUUGGCGGAAUUGGCAGCAUCACCUUGCCAAGGUGGGGGUCGCGGGUUCGAAUCCCGUCGUUCGCUU